rnacentral:lncRNA from 1 species
UACAUAAAGGUUUGUAUUUAUUUACAGGUACUGCUAGGUAACAGUGGCUAGCAGUAACAGCUAUAUAGGGCUCUGUGCUUCUGGGGGCUGAAGAGGCAAGAGAAUCCUUGUUGGGGGUAGCUGAUAGCUCUUGGGUGGCUGUGGUGAGAUCUGGAAGCUCUAGUGGGUGGGAGGGAAUGGCGGAACAAGAUGAGCUGAGUUUCACUUUGGGAUGUGUUCAGGCUAAAGUGAGACGUACCUGAGCUGCUGCCUAAGCUGACAAAUGGGCUGGAAGUGUAUUAGAAGAGCCAGUAUGAGUAAGGGACAGAAGGGGAAAUGCAUGCUGGUAGAAACCUUCAUGAGGGAGAGAAGCUGUUGCACCAUCUUGUUCUUGACUACAAGGAGGAUAAAUAGAAAGCAGAGAAGGUGGUGUGAAUUGGUCUACAAGAAUCAAUACAGCUGUGCUGCUUGAUUUUCACCAGCAGAGACUCUGACCUCCCAAGUGCAAGAGUACUGGGUGGUGUGGGGGAGAUGAUACUGCCUGGUGUUCUGGGAGAGUGAUUAAGACUUGAUCCUGGAUCACUGAACUUGGGAAGUUUUGCCAAUUGACUUAGAUCAGGAUCAGAAACUUUUCACUAGAGUGUGAAGCUCUGAACAAGCACAUUCUGAAAAUGUAACUCACUCCAUGACUGAAACCAUUGGCAUGAUGGGAAAAAUGAAGAGUACUUCUGCAACAUUACAUACUGACAUAAAUAAUUAAACGAAAAAGGAAGUUCAGACCUUUUGCUUAGACAAUGAAGGAGGAAAAAAGUAAAUAUAUAUUUGUAUUUGUUGGUGUUGUAUAGGAUUGGUAGCUAGUAGUUCUGAUAAAUUCAGAAGCAGAAGCCUAGAUUAUUAAUAUUUUAUUUUUUCUGCACCCAGAGAAACCCACUGUACUGAGCACUGUACAAAUGCAUGCCAUGCAACACUCCUUUGCCCUGAACAGUUCUCAGGUGGAUAGGGAGUAAGAAAAGAGUAGGAAAAGAGAAACCUAAAUACAGAGAGGUUUUCUACUUUACAAUUGCUGAAACAAAAUAAAUUUGUGACACUUAUGACA